AGCCUGUCUCAGUUCGGAUCGGAGUCUGCAACCCGACUCCGUGAAGCUGGAUUCGCUAGUAAUCGCGCAUCAGCCAUGGCGCGGUGAAUACGUUCCCGGGCCUUGUACACACCGCCCGUCAAGCCAUGGGAGCCGGGGGUGCUUGAAGUGCGUCGCCGCAAGGCGCGCCCUAGAGCAAAACCGGUGACUGGGGCUAAGUCGUAACAAGGUAAC
rnacentral:rRNA from 1 species